rnacentral:rRNA from 1 species
GGGUUGUGAGGUUAAGCGACUAAGCGUACACGGUGGAUGCCCUGGCAGUCAGAGGCGAUGAAGGACGUGCUAAUCUGCGAUAAGCGUCGGUAAGGUGAUAUGAACCGUUAUAACCGGCGAUUUCCGAAUGGGGAAACCCAGUGUGUUUCGACACACUAUCAUUAACUGAAUCCAUAGGUUAAUGAGGCGAACCGGGGGAACUGAAACAUCUAAGUACCCCGAGGAA